UCCUUGGGAGCCCUCCCACCAACUACUUUCUCACUCUUUUCUCUGUGGCGCUGCUACCUCUGGCUUGCGUUGUUUUAGGACCUCACAUCCCAUUAGUUCCCCCUGCUAGCAUGGCAGCCCCCAGUGGGGCUGGGGGUAUUGGCUGCCAAACCCCGAGCCUGGGACAGUCUGCCUGUGCCCUCUCAUUGGCCAACCCUGAGCAACGUCCUAGCUACUGGACACGCAUCAGCUGGGGGAAUGAAAAGGUGGUCCUGGAUGGGGUUCAGCCCAGCCUGGUGACAGGCAAGACCCAGAGAGUGAGAAUAGGCACAGCGGGAGCAUCGGCUGGUCCUGGGGCUGGAGGGCUUCUUGGAGGAGGUGGCACUGAAACCAAGGGACACGAGUCAGGACAAGGGUGUUCCAGGGCAGAGGAAGCUGAGAGCAAAGGAGAGUUGGAGGAAAAGAGGAACAGAGCCCGGAGAGUGAGUGAGCCACCUCCCCCUGCUGCUCUCCCCUCCCAGGGUGGUCCCAGCAUCUCACACCCACUCGGAUCAGUGAUGUUUUGCCUCCAGCGUUCCUCUUUUCGGGUCUUUGUUGCCCAUGAUCCCUGGUGUCCCUUGGCUUGUGACUGCAUCACCCCAACCUGUGUCUCUUUUGUCACAAAUUUUCCUCUUAGAAGGACAUCCGCCAUUGGAUGUAGGGCCACCCUACUUUAGUGUAACCUCAUCCUAACUAAUCACAUCUACAAAGAUCCUACCCCCAAAUCAGGUCACCUUCCCAGGUUCGGGUGGGUGUGACUUUGGGGGGGAUAUUUGACCCUAACUGCUUGGUGUUAACUGCCUUCAACAGCCCAUGCAGGCAGGUUCUGACCACCCACGUUCUAGAUGAGGAAACUGAGGCUCAGAAGGGUCCAGUCAUUUCAGGCAGACACAGGGAGCCAGGCUAGCUUCUCUGUACCUGCAGAUAACCCCCAUGGGUGCUGGGCAGCCUUUCGAGGAGGGCAGGGUCCCCCUAAAUUUUAAAGCAGAAUCUGAGGUGUGGAGAGGUGCCCGCCCUGCCCAAGGAGGCUGUGCCUUUUCUUAUUUAUAUUAUCAUUAGAUAUAUGGUUGCUCUUGAUUUUUGGUGAUUAUAAAUGAUGCUGAUUCCAAAUGUAUAUAGAUUUUUUUCCAAAUCCGCCCUGAAGGUCCCGGGUUGACUCUAAAACCCUGACCCGCAACACAAGGCUCAUCGCAGAGGCCCUGACUCGAGUCAUCUACAACCUGACUGAGAAGGGGACGCCCCCGGACAUGCCUGUCUUCACAGAGCAGAUGCAGAUCCAGCAGGAACAGCUGGACUCGGUGAUGGACUGGCUCACCAACCAGCCCCGGGCUGCCCAGUUGGUGGACAAAGAUGGCACGUUCCUCAACACGCUGGAGCACUACCUGAGCCGCUACCUGAAGGAGGUGAAGCAGCACCACAUCAAGGCUGACAAACGGUGAGGCGCAGACGGCCCCCACCCUGUCACAGGCUCAUGAAGUGUGGCUGGCCAGUGAGCAUGCUCUUCUAGAGUUUUCUAUAUCGCCCCCAGUGCCAGAGUGAGCAAAUAAAUAAAAUACCGGAUGAAAAGUUAAAUGAUAAGUAAAAAAGUACUGGGUACUAGUUAACUUUGAGUUCCAGAUAAAACAGCAAAUUGUUUUUUAGUGUAAGUAUGUCCCAUGAAA